UACAGAGGGCGCGAGCGUUAAUCGGAUUAACUGGGCGUAAAGGGCGCGUAGGCGGUUAUAUGAGUGUGAUGUGAAAGCCCUGGGCUUAACCUAGGAAGUGCAUCGCAAACGAUAUGACUGGAGUAUUGGAGAGGGUAGCGGAAUUUCCGGUGUAGCGGUGAAAUGCGUAGAGAUCGGAAGGAACGUCAAUGGCGAAGGCAGCUACCUGGCCAAAUACUGACGCUGAGGCGGCGAAAAGCGUGGGGAGCAAACAGGG
rnacentral:rRNA from 1 species